UUACGGCCAUAUAGUUUUGAAACACCGGUUCCCAUACGAUCACCAAAGUUAAGCAACGUCGAGUCUGGUCAGUACCUAGAUGGGCGAAUGCUUGGGAAUACCAGGUACUGUAAG